rnacentral:rRNA from 1 species
GUCAAUGCCGUAAACGAUGUCUACUAGCCGUUGGGGUCUUUGAGACUUUAGUGGCGCAGCUAACGCGAUAAGUAGACCGCCUGGGGAGUACGGUCGCAAGACUAAAACUCAAAUGAAUUGACGGGGGCCCGCACAAGCGGUGGAGCAUGUGGUUUAAUUCGGUGCAACGCGAAGAACCUUACCUGGUCUUGACAUAGUAAGAACUUUCCAGAGAUGGAUUGGUGCCUUCGGGAGCUUACAUACAGGUGCUGCAUGGCUGUCGU